CCUACGGGAGGCAGCAGUGGGGGAUAUUGCGCAAUGGGGGGAACCCUGAUGCAGCAACGCCGCGUGGGUGAAGGAGCGUUUCGGCGCGUAAAGCCCUAUCGGCAGGGAAGAAUAUGACGGUACCUGACCAAGAAACCCCGGCUAACUACGUGCCAGCAGCCGCGGGAAUACGUAGGGGGCAAGUGUUAUCCGGAUUUACUGGGUGUAAAGGGGGCGCAGACGGCGAUGCAAGCCAGGAGUGAAAGCCCGGGUCCGAACCCCGGGACUGCUCUUGGAACUGCAUGGCUGGAGUACAGGAGGGGCAGGCGGAAUUCCUAGUGUAGCGGUGAAAUGCGUAGAUAUUAGGAGGAACACCGGUGGCGAAGGCGGCCUGCUGGACUGUGACUGACGUUGAGGCGCGAAGGCGUGGGGAGCAAACAGGAUUAGAUACCCUUGUAGUC
rnacentral:rRNA from 1 species